GGGUGAUCUGACUAUGACGUCUGUCACCCCAUCCAUUUCUAGGGUUGAGUUAGCAGAUGUGGCUGGCUAAGCAGGUGUUCCUCACUGCCCUGUGCUCAUGCCUUCUGAAGCUGUGCAGCUGGUCUAAAAGGAUUAUCUUCUCCAACAUAGGAGUAUCUUUCUUUGGUCAAGAGUAUAUGAACAGCUGUGCUUCCCUGAUAGAGCCUCCAGACAAGUUCACAAGGUCUAUUUGUACAAGAACAUGGGGUAGUCAAACUUCCCAGAUUCCAGACACAUCCAAAUUAGGUGCUGCAUGUAGCAGUCUACCUUUUUUU
rnacentral:snRNA from 1 species